AUGAACGCUGGCGGCGUGCUUAACACAUGCAAGUCGAACGAAGCACCUCUAAUCGAGAUUGAGAAAGCUUGCUUUGAUUGAUUCACCUUGAGGUGACUGAGUGGCGGACGGGUGAGUAACGCGUGGGUAACCUACCCUAUACAGGGGGAUAACAGUUGGAAACGACUGCUAAUACCGCAUAAGCGCACAGGACCGCAUGGUCUAGUGUGAAAAACUCCGGUGGUAUAGGAUGGACCCGCGUCUGAUUAGCUAGUUGGUGAGGUAACGGCUCACCAAGGCGACGAUCAGUAGCCGACCUGAGAGGGUGACCGGCCACAUUGGGACUGAGACACGGCCCAAACUCCUACGGGAGGCAGCAGUGGGGAAUAUUGCACAAUGGGCGAAAGCCUGAUGCCAGCGACGCCGCGUGAACGAAGAAGUAUUUCGGUAUGUAAAGUUCUAUCAGCAGGGAAGAAAAAUGACGGUACCUGACUAAGAAGCUCCGGCUAAAUACGUGCCAGCCGCAGC
rnacentral:rRNA from 1 species